GGAUGAGUCAUUAGCUGAAUUAUAUAUUGGGGGAAUCAAGAAUAGAACUAUAAGCAGACAUUUUAAAGUAAAGAGAUAAAUGCUAGAAGAAACAGCUAAAAGUUUAUUAAAAAUGGUUUAACAUAUAUUGUUAUGUUCUCUUCACUUAGAAAAAUUAUUAGGGAAGACACUAAAUGAGUCUUUCGACUUUGAAGAAAAGCAAGUGGACUUGAAUUCCAUGGGUGUAAGCUCCAGAAGAUGGGAAUUUUGUUCACCUCAUUCAAAGUAUCCUGCAUUUGGCAUAUAGUAGUCAUCAUUUUUGUGGAUAAAUGAAUAGCUAUACCCAUGUGAAUAAACUAUAUCUUAGCAAUUCAUCCGUAAGUAUGGACAUAUGUGUACCCUGCUAAUCAUAUUUAAUGUUAUUACAGGCUAUGUGACUUUGGCAAGUUAUUUUAUCUCUGUGGCUCAGUUUUGUAACUCUAAAAUGGGACUAAUAAUGGUAUCUAAUUUAUAGAGUUAUUGGGAGAAUUAAAAAAAUUAAUUCACAUCAAGCAGUUUGAAAGGGCCCGAUACAUGGUUUAAUUACUCCAUAAACUUUAGUUUGUGUUUAUUAUUAAAGUAUGGCUUUUUUGUUUAUUCAUUUUUUUAAUAAAGAAAAUUUCAAACAUUUAUAAUAGAAUAGUAAUAUAAUGAAUCCCCAUGUAUCAUCACCCAGUUUCAAUAAUUAUUAACAUAUGGCUGAUUAUUUUUGUCCUCUAUCCCCACUUUUUUAAAAAGGAAAAUUUAGAGAUUAUAACCUGAAAUUAUUUGAGGCAUCCUAGGUAUUUGCAAACUAAGGCUAGGAAUCACUGUUGUGAUCAUAUAUAAAACAAGUAUUUUUAUUCAGAAGAUAAAUCAUCUUAUUUGAAUUUGAUUAUGAAUAGGAUCCAGACAACCACUGGCUUCUAGUGCUGUCACAAGUAGGACAUUUAUGCCAGUGUAACAAAGAACAGGUGGGCAAUCCCACCCUCCAUCCCCCAAUUCAUACCCCAGGGCUGGUCCAAAAAGAAACUGGAUCAUCCAGGGCUACACAGAAAGAUCAGAAUGGGCAGCUGUAAGCUAAAAGAGACUGUUGAUUAGCACCUCUUCUCUAAUAUAGCUCAUAACUGUAAUAAAGGUCGUGGUUGCCCACCCUCUGGGAUCUCCCAAUAGUAGCUAUAUCUUACGGAGAAGUCCUUCUGUUGUGACAGUAGUCCACACAAUGGGUUUCUCUUAAGCCAAAUUCAUCUCAAAUCGAUACUCAAGGAUUCUCUGGAGCGUUAAGAUACUGGAGUGUAAGCAUGGGGGUCUCCACACAAAUGCUUUCCAGAAUGGGUAUUUUGGCCAGAGUACAUGACUGGAUUGCACCUGAGGCUUACUCAUGAUGGCUUUCACACUCUCUAGAGCAGCACUAUCCAACAGAACUCCAAGAUGAGGGAAAUAUUCUAUGUCUGUGCUGUCCAAUUAUAUUAGCCAGUAAUUACAUGUGGCUGCUGAGCUCUUGAAAUGUGACUAGUGUAAUUGAAGAAGUAAGCUUUAAAUUUCAAUUAAUAUCAAUGUAAAAGGUCACAUGUAGCUAGUGGAUACCAACAAACUUCUACUGGGUGCCCUUUAACCAAAUGUUUAAAACAUCAAUAACUAAUUUAAACACACUGGUUUAUCAAUUUAUCUAAGAAAUAUUUACUUUGCAAUAAAAAUAAAGACAUAAAGUUUCUGUUUUGCUUGAUUUUAAAUAGUGGGAACCAAAACAAUCACUUAAAACAAAAAAAGCUCUGUCUUAUCGCAAAUAAUCAUUCUGUACAAUUUAUCAUAUAUUAAAACUUACAAAAUCAGAUUCUUCAGGUCAGAGGAAUAGUUGAUUGUCACCAGUUCCAUGGCUUUCUGUAAAUUCUCUCGCUGAAUUCCUGCCAAAGAGUUGCAAGCCAAAGCCAACACAACUUUUCCUAAUGAUAUCAGAUCUGCUUGCUGACAUGAAAGAAUAAAUAUAACUUUUAAUUUUCAUUUCACAGGUACUCAUUUAAUACACUGACACUACUGCCUAAAUGGAAAAAGCAUCAUUAUAAAUAAGCUGCAGGCAGGGUCCUCAAAUACUGGUGAUUCUCAGAAUAACCUGGAGCUUAUUAAAAAGACGACUUCGAGCCUCUCUACCAGAGAUUCUCAUUGGGUGGGUCCAGAAAAUGGCUCAACAUUUUUAAAGCACCCAGGUAAUUCUGAUGAAGGUAGUUCUAGGUCCACGCCUUAAGAGACUUUAAGCAAUUCCCAUGCCAACUACAAAUUGCCACUUUUAAAAAGUUUUUCUAAUUUUUUCUUAUUUAAAUAGAGGUAAUAUUCUUCUCUAUUACAACAAAUUUAAGGUUACUAUACAUUUGCUUUGCUAUGACCACUAUAACUUAACAUACAUACUUUGCUCAUUUUCUGUAACUCCCAGAAUAUAGUGGGAAUGUGAAGGAUUAUCUGAAGAAAAGUUAUCCUAUUACAAACAUUAGCAUUAACCAGAUUUUAGAGCAAAUUCUCUAGAACAUCAAAAAUGCUGCAAACCUCAAUGAAUGACAUCCCAUCUAUCUUUGUUUCCAAAUAGACUAUUUUUCCUCACACUCUAACAGAUCUUUGAGCUCUGGAACCACCACCUGCUUUCCUAAAACCUCUCCCACUCAAGAUUUACCAUUCUGAGGCUUUCCUUCUAAAAGGAUUUUCAAAAGACAGCUGGCUGAAUUAAGUCCUUUAUCACCUAUUAUAACUCCAGGAAACAGUAUGGUCAUCCCAAGUGGCCCUGAUUGGUAGGAAGCUAUUAACAACCACAUGCCUUCAAGAAUGGAGUACUUCAGAGUUAACAUGAAACCACCUGAAGCAAUUUCUACAACAGACAUUUGCAGAUCUUUAAAAUCUGAGAACUCAUCUAAAUUAUUAGACACACGUUCAUUUACUGAACAUUCGUUUAUUAUAAGGAAUUUUCAAGCAUAGCUGUAUAUUACCAUCACUUGAGAAGCUUAAAAACAAAACCAAAAUCAGCAGUAGCCAUCCCCUCGUCCCAAUUUUGGUAUAAUUAGUCUGGGAUAAAAAUCUAGGUAUUGGUAUUUUUCUAAGCUUCCACAAAUGAUGGUAAUAUGCAGCCAGGAUUGAGAACCACUGGUUUGUUGGAAUAUUUGUAACUUUAAGGCAAUCAUUAGUGAAAUUCUAGCAUUAUAUGGUUAUACUUAACAACAGCCUACCCAAAUAAUGAGUAAAAAGACGUUAAACUCCAUUACUAAAAUAACAUUUAAAAGUUCAUACUAAAAAAUUUAUCCAAAACUAGCAUUUGUGAAUCUGACACUGAACAUGAGAUAAGGAGACAGACUGAUUAGGUAGACAAACUACUUUGAAUCUAUUAGAAAAGAUUCAAAGAUUCAUCCCAGAAAACUUUUAAAACUUCACUGGUGAUAGAGUCAGGAGCCCAGAAUGGCAGGAGGGAAGCUGGCAUGGGAAGGAGAACUAUUACUGUUGCCAUCAUUUCUGUUUGCUGGAGGACACUGUGAUGAACUCCAAAAAGAAUUCCUCUCAAUCACACUUUAGAUCAAGUAAAACAUUCCAAGUUAUAUUCAUGAAAUUACAGAAAUCUCAGCCAAAAGAAAUCAGUGCAUAUAAAUGCCAACUAUAAAUUUCUAUGGGCGAUUCAAUCCAAAGUAUCCAGCAAAGCAUACCAAAGAUUGUUGUUAUUUAUCACGUGUUUGAGCAGCAGGUACCAACACACAGUCUUCCAACUCUUCAAGCAGCAGAAUUUUCAGUUUGGUUCCACCCUGAACUGAUGCUGUAUUAAGCCUCCCUCCCAGAAUAUUCCAUUAUUCUCUAUUAUGAGACAGAAAACCAAAAUGGUCCAAGAGAGCUGAAGAACCAGAUGGGUUUAAAAAAUAACAUCUGAUUUUUAGUACAUCCCAUCACCUCUCUAAAGCGGACUCAAGGUAAGAACAUCCACUUUUUGAAAUAAAGUACAUGUAUGACACAGUCCAGAUUAAAUUAGAGUUGUUUUUUUAAACAAAAGAAGUUAAUAAAAUCUUAAGAGAGUUUCACACCGUAAAACCCAGUAACUCUCCUUUCCUUAUUUCUCAGCUAAAUAAUUUUCCAUUUGUUAUUUUGCUUCUUACCUCCAUCUGGUUUCCCCCCAUUUGUUGAAUUCAGGAGAUUUGCCCCCCAACUGAUUUUCAGUUUCUUCCUGAUUCUUGACUUCUUGAUUUCUUUUUCUGAUUCUAUCUAUGGCUCUACUUAUGUCCAUUUUACUCAAAGUCAGUCUCUAUUCACGUGUCUGAAACAAACUAUGAAAAAUAGACUACAAGAAACAAUGCACUCCUCAUGUAUCCUCUUCUCUGUAAAAUCACACUCCCCCUUUGGGACUAUCUUUAAUUCUUUCCUAUACCUUACUAUAAUAAGCAAUAUAAAAAAUCAGCUACACAUAUAUACCCAAAAAAAGAAAGCCUGAUAUAUAUCCUUUAAUGCUGAAAAAAAUAAACAGGUGAUAAUUAAUUGAAGGUUGCCUGAUUUUAUGAAUGAAGGCAUAUCCUGACUUACAAAUAUUAAUAAGGUGCCCUAAAUGCUUAAAGUUGGUUGUCUGAACUCAGGGAUUUUUUUCUUAUGAAAAGUUUUGUUUUUCAAGGUAACUACACGACUCAUAACAUACUUGAAAAGGAACCCUACUGAGAAAAGAAUGAGGAGCGUGUGCAGUUUUUUUUUUUUUUAAUGCAGACACGGGUUUCUAGAUACUUACAUUAGAAGAUGAUGGUACUGGCUCUAAAAAUGUGUAAUUUUCCUUCAAAAAUUUAAUAUUAUCUGCUUGGAUGUAUAUCCAAGUGUAUAUAUUCACUAAUAUUUUAACAGUCAAUAAUCUGUCACUUUUGGAAGCAUAAAGGUCAUAAAGAAAAAUUAAUCGGAGCCAACUACCUAGGCACUAAGUAUAAGAGAGAAGAUAAGAAUGAAAGUAGCUAAGAAACAAUGUCUCCAGAUAAGAAAGAGGGGGCAAAUGCCCUCAGGCAGAAGAACAGAAUGAUGCUGCUGGGGGAAAAACAGAACUAAUCAUAUUCCUCCCUGUGUUGCCCACUAGAUGUUGCUAUCAACCAGAACAGCUUGGCUGCUGCUGAGGUUAGGUGGGCACAAGCAGAGGGAAAGAAGGGUGUGAAACGUCUGCAAACAACUGAAUGCAAUGAGUGCCUGCAAGUCUUUGGGACUGUAUUCUCUGUGGUUUACGAGCAAAACAGAUUUAUGCAUGAACUGAAAUACUAAACACUGAUUAGACUCUACUUCUCAUUUUAUCCUUUUUGUUCUCUUUUUGUUCUGAAAUUCUAUCAGUGAACUAAAAUCUUCUUCCAAAACUUUAAACAAAAUAAGUUGAAAAGAGAAGAAUAAGGUGUUUCUCCAUGUAAUUAAGAAAUUCUGCCUUAGAGCAAACCUUUGUAAGUUAAUAAAUGUUCAAAAAACCCAAAAACUUCUUAUACACAAAGAACUAAAAUUGUCUUAAAAUCAUAGCUGCCUAUCCUAAUGUGAAGCAUUCCAAUACAAACUGAAUGACCUAUUUACUUUAGUUUUGUUACUUGCAGAGUAAUCAAGGCAAAAACAACUAUUCUCUUUUUUUUUUUUGAGAUGGAGUCUAGCUCUGUUACCCAGGCAGGAGUGCAGUGGUGCGAUCUCAGCUCACUGCAACCUCCGCCUCCCAGGUUCAAGCGAUUCUCCUGCCUUAGCCUCCUGAGUAGCUGGACUACAGGUGUGUGCCACCACACCUGGCUAAUCUUUGUAUUUUUAGGAGAGGUGGGGUUUCACCAUGUUGGCCAGGCUGGUCUCCAGCUCCUGAGCUCAAGUGAUCUGCCCACCUCAGCCUCUCAAAGUGCUGGGAUUACAGGUGUGAGCCACCACACCUGGCCUAAAGCAACUGUUCUUAAUGCUUGAAGAUACGUUCUUAUUCUUCGAUACUUUAUCAUUUAAAUCAGGAAAUAAGAAACAGCAAAAUAGCUAAGAAGCAUCACGAGGCCUAAAUCAACACUAAUAAAAUGAAGUCAGACAAUAAUCAAAUACUAAUAAAGUAUAAGAAGUGAGUGGUAUGUUCUGACUAAAUAAAAAAAUUACUUAGAAAAUGGCAAUCCAAUAACAAACCUAUGAAAACAUUUCUAAAAUUUCAUGACUGGUAGUCAGACAAGUGUUCUAAAAGUAAAAAUAAUAGGUGUAAUUAAAGGAGUGAAAAAGAAGGGUGUCAUUUAAUAUAAUCCAUUCAUCUGAUUAGUCUUGUUUUAAUCUAUCUAUGCUUAGGACACGUUUCCUAAAUCACAUAAAUACAUUUUCAUUUUGAACAGUUAAGAGUCUCUGACGUUAUCAGGAGGCCGGGCACAGUGGCUCAUGCCUGUAAUCCCAGCACUUUGGGAGGCCGAGGCAGGCGGAUCACCUGAGGUCAGGAGUUCAAGACCAGCCUGACCAACAUGGAGAAACCCUGUCUUUACUAAAAAUACAAAAUCAGCCAGGCAUGGUGGUGCAUGCCUGUAAUCCCAGCUACUCGGGAGGCUGAGGCAGGAGAAUCGCUUGAACCUGGGAGGCAGAGGUUGUGGUGAGUUGAGAUCGCGCCAUUGCACUCCAGUCUGGGCAACAAGAGUGAAACUCUGCCUCAAAAAAAAAAAAAAGAGUCUCUGACAUUGUCAUGAAUUCUCUUUAUUCCAACCCACAAGGGCUCUACACUAAGUACAUCAUAAUGGUUAAGAAAUACAGCCUGGGCAACAUCGUGAGCCUCUAUCUCUACAAAAAAUAAAAAUAAAAAAAAUUUUAGCCAGACACAGUAGUGCACAUCUGUAGUCCCAGCUACAUGGGAGGCUGAGGCGAGACGAUUGCUUGGGCCCAGUUCAAAAGCUGCAGUGAGCUGACAGCACCACUGCACUCUAGCCCAGGUGACAGAGCAAGACAGAAGCAAAAGAAUAGAAAGGAAAAGAGA
rnacentral:lncRNA from 1 species